UACGAAGGGGGCUAGCGUUGCUCGGAAUUACUGGGCGUAAAGCGUGCGCAGGCGGUUUUGUAAGUCUGUCGUGAAAUCCCCGGGCUCAACCUGGGAAUUGCGAUGGAGACUGCAAGGCUAGAAUCUGGCAGAGGGGGGUAGAAUUCCACGUGUAGCAGUGAAAUGCGUAGAGAUGUGGAGGAACACCGAUGGCGCAAAGGCAGCCCCCUGGGUC
rnacentral:rRNA from 1 species